GACAGAGGAUGCAAGCGUUGUCCGGAAUUAUUGGGCGUAAAGAGCUCGUAGGCGGUCUGUCGCGUCUGCCGUGAAAGUCCGGGGCUCAACUCCGGAUCUGCGGUGGGUACGGGCAGACUAGAGUGAUGUAGGGGAGACUGGAAUUCCUGGUGUAGCGGUGAAAUGCGCAGAUAUCAGGAGGAACACCGAUGGCGAAGGCAGGUCUCUGGGCCGAUACUGACGCUGAGGAGCGAAAGCGUGGGGAGCGAACAGG
rnacentral:rRNA from 1 species